UACGUAGGGGGCAAGCGUUGUCCGGAAUCAUUGGGCGUAAAGCGCGUGUAGGCGGCUAGGUAAGUCUGCUCUGAAAGCCCGGGGCUCAACCCCGGGAGGCGGGUGGAUACUGUCUAGCUCGAGUCCGGAAGAGGAGUGUGGAAUUCCUGGUGUAGCGGUGAAAUGCGCAGAUAUCAGGAGGAACACCAAUGGCGAAGGCAGCACUCUGGGACGUGACUGACGCUGAGACGCGAAAGCUAGGGGAGCAAACAGG
rnacentral:rRNA from 1 species